rnacentral:rRNA from 1 species
UACCCGCAGCACAAGUGGUGGUCAUUAUUAUUGGGCCUAAAGCGUCCGUAGCUGGCCUGUUAGAUGCCUGGGUAAAUCGAUGCGCUCAACGCAUCGAACUCCGGGUAGACCGGCAGGCUUGGGACCGGGAGAGGUGUGAGCUACUCGAGGGGUAGGGGUAAAAUCCUGUAAUCCUUCGGGGAGGACCAGUGGCGAAGGCGUCACAUUAGAACGGCUCCGACAGUGAGGGACGAAGCCCUGGGGCGCAAACCGG